rnacentral:rRNA from 1 species
AGAGUUUUAUCCUGGCUCAGGAUGAACGCUGGCGGCGUGCUUAACACAUGCAAGUCGAACGAAGCACUUUAUUUGAUUUCUUCGGAAUGAAGAUUUUGUGACUGAGUGGCGGACGGGUGAGUAACGCGUGGGUAACCUGCCUCAUACAGGGGGAUAACAGUUGGAAACGACUGCUAAUACCGCAUAAGCGCACAGGGGCGCAUGACCUGGUGUGAAAAACUCCGGUGGUAUGAGAUGGACCCGCGUCUGAUUAGCCAGUUGGCGGGGUAACGGCCUACCAAAGCAGACGAUCAGUAGCCGACCUGAUACGGUGACCGGCCACAUUGGGACUGAGACACGGCCCAAAUUCUUACGGGAGGCAGCAGUGGGGAAUAUUGCACAAUGGGGGAAACCCUGAUACAGCGACCCCGCGUGAGCGAAGAAAGUAUUUCGGUAUGUAAGGCUCUAUCUGCAGGGAAGAAGAAAUGACGGUACCUGACUAAGAAGCACCGGCUAAAUACGUGCCAGCAGCCGCGGUAAUACGUAUGGUGCAAGCGUUAUCCGGAUUUACUGGGUGUAAAGGGAGCGCAGGCGGUACGGCAAGUCUGAUGUGAAAGCCCGGGGCUCAACCCCGGUACUGCAUUGGAAACUGUCGGACUAGAGUGUCGGAGGGGUAAGUGGAAUUCCUAGUGUAGCGGUGAAAUGCGUAGAUAUUAGGAGGAACACCAGUGGCGAAGGCGGCUUACUGGACGAUUACUGACGCUGAGGCUCGAAAGCGUGGGGAGCAAACAAAAUUAGAUGCCCUGGUAGUCCUCGCCGUAAACGACCCUAAAGGGUCGGGGAGCUUUGCUCUUCGGUGCCGCAGCAAACGCAAUAAGUAUUCCACCUGGGGAGUACGUUCGCAAGAAAGAAACUCAAAGGAAUUGACGGGGACCCGCACAAGCGGUGGAGCAUGUGGUUUAAUUCGAAGCAACGCGAAGAACCUUACCAAGUCUUGACAUCCCGAUGACAGAACAUGUAAUGUGUUUUCUCUUCGGAGCAUCGGUGACAGGUGGUGCAUGGUUGUCGUCAGCUCGUGUCGUGAGAUGUUGGGUUAAGUCCCGCAACGAGCGCAACCCCUAUUCUUAGUAGCCAGCGGGUAAGCCGGGCACUCUAGGGAGACUGCCAGGGAUAACCUGGAGGAAGGUGGGGAUGACGUCAAAUCAUCAUGCCCCUUAUGACUUGGGCUACACACGUGCUACAAUGGCGUAAACAAAGGGAAGCGAGCCUGCGAGGGGGAGCAAAUCUCAAAAAUAACGUCUCAGUUCGGACUGCAGUCUGCAACUCGACUGCACGAAGCUGGAAUCGCUAGUAAUCGCGAAUCAGAAUGUCGCGGUGAAUACGUUAACCGGGUCUUGCACUCACCGCCCGUCA